GUCAAGGGUUUGCAGCACUGUCAACAAAGCAAAGGGCGGCUACUUUGAGGAAUCUAAAAAGAUAAGACAUAUUUUGAGAUUCUGGCAGGCGAGAGGAGAAAAGAACGAUGGAGAGACAGAAUUGGGCCAGCGAGUGGCAGAGCUCCCCACAGCCAGUCAGGGCCUGGAUGUCUGAGGAGGGACUGAAGGCCCUUGGGCAAGUACUGACAUCACCAGCUUGGAUUCUUUGUCUGGCAAGACAGCCUCAUGUAAAUAUUACAUCCAGGCCCACACAUCUUCUGCCUCCACACCCACACUCACUUCGAUUUUAAUCAAAACUCUGGAUGCUUUACAAAGACUUGGUUGCAGUGUGUUUGAUCACCGAGAGCCACCAUAAGAACUUCCUCUUCUUGGCAAAGUUUAUUUAUUUUCUUUGUGCUUGAAUAUGUAGACCUCAAAUAUACAUUUCC